rnacentral:rRNA from 1 species
UAAAAUACUACCUAAUAUUCCACGAUCAACCUAAAUCAAUCCACCCGCACUAAAACUGCUCGAUCAUUUUUUACAAGCCACUUAAUACGCUUAAAUCCAGAUCAUCCACUCGUACAACUAAUAAUAUAACCACCUAUUUACUUAGAAGUUAUUUAAACCUUGUUAAAACUAAAUCAAUCCACUAACACUGGAACUUGGUUUGAAAUACCACCUAAUACUCUAAAAAAUACCUAAUCAAUCAACUAACACUAGAACUCUUCUAUAAGUUUCUACAAACCACCUAAUUAAUAAGAACUUGUUAAACCUAAAUCAAUCCAUCAACACUAUGACUUGACUUAAAGUACGACCCAAUACUCUAAAAUCCACCUAAAUCAUCCACUAGUACAGAACUCUUGUAUCAGUUUCUACAAAGGACCUGAUACUCUUACCACUAAUAAUAUAAGUACCCAUUUGUUUAGAAACUAAAUCAAUCCACUAACAAUGAAAAGUUGGUUAAGUACCACCUAAAACAACCUAAAUCAAUCCCCUGAGACUAGAGUUGCUCAAUCAGUUUAUACAAACCACUUAAUACAAUUAAAUCCAGAUCAUUCACUCGUACCACCAAUAAUAUAACUACCUAUUUAGCGGGAAAUCAUUUGUACCUCGUCUACAUCAAUCCGCUAACACUAGAACUUGCUUAAAGUGCUACCUAAUGCUCUAAAAGUUAUCUAAAUCAAUCAUCUAACACUAGAACCCUUCUACACUUUCUACAAGCUAUCUAAUUAAUUAGAAUUUGUUAAACCUAAAUCGAUCUACUAACACUAUAACUUGGUUUAAAGAGACACUAAAUACUCUAAAAUCAACCUAAAUCAAUCCACUAACACAGAACUCUACUAUUAGUUUGUACAAACCACCUAAUACUCUAAAAUCCAGAUCAUCUACUCGUACCACCAAUGAUAUAACCACCUACUUGUCUAUAAAUUAAAUUAAACUUUGUUAAACCUAAAUCAAUCCACUGACACUAGAAAACUGGUUUAAAAUGCCACCUAAUACUCCAAAACCAACCUAAAUCAAUCCACUAACCACAGAACUGCUCGAUCAUUUUCUACAAGCCGAUCUAAUACGCUUAAAUCCAGAUCAUCCACUCGUACAACUAAUAAUAUAACCACCUAUUUAUUUAAACAUUUGAACUUAAAAAAAACCUAAAUCAAUCCGCUAACACUAGAACUUGGUUUAAAAUACCACCUAAUACUGUAAAAACUACCUAAUCAAUCAACUAACACUACAACUCCUCUAUCUGUUUCUACAAGCCACAUAAUUAAUUAGAACUUGUUAAACCUAAAUCAAUCCACUAACACUAUAACAUGGUUUAAAGAGGCACUAAAUACUCCAAAAUCAACCUAAAUCAAUCCUCUGACACAGAAUUCUUCUAUCAGUUUCUACAAACCACCUAAUACUCUAAAAUCCAGAUUAUCUAUUCGUACCACUAAUAAUAUAACCACCUAUUUACUUGGAAAUUUUUAAACUUUGUUAAACCUAAAUCAAUCGCCGGACACUAGAAAUUGGUUUAAAAUACCACCUAAUACUCUAAAUCAAACCGGCGCGAGGCGGAGAAGGAGCUCCUCGUACACGUCACGACACCGGAGUCUUCUACCCGCAGCUGUGGACGUCGAACACGUGUUACCACUGAGGUGCGUAGAGGACACGGGGUGUUGGGAGAGGAAGGGCCGUCUCCUCCUCGUCCUCGUUCCUACUGCUCCGCCAAGUCGGCGCUCCUUCUCAUCCUUCUAGUCCGUCUCUCCCAACGGUACCCUCGAAACCUACCACCAGAAUUAUAACGCGUGUCACUGUUCUCUAAACAACCGAAGUUCUUCCUAUUCUUCGUCGACCCGCGACUCUAAGUGGCGUUUAUGUAGAUACUUCCAGUACAACGACUGAUGUACUUCAGUUAUCGACUACUCCUUAGAUUCUUCAUGGUUAGAUUGAAGUCACUCAUGUAGUUCUUCUUAUAAUGCCGGCUACUGUACCUUCGUGACAUGUUCUUCCAAGUACGACGGUAAGCACGAAUAGGAUGGUACCGUUUUAGUUGGUUCCUUGGAGGUUUCUGCGUGUUCUCAGACGCAGCUGUAGCACGAGUGCCUCAGACCGGAGACGUAACACAAGAGGUAGAACGUCACGUACUACUUGAUGUGCGAUUUCAAGUCGACUUCAAGGGUACAAAAGAAGAUGAUGUUCUCAAGACAGCUAAACAUGAUGAACCGACGUUUACAUACGGCAAACGUAGUGGUAUGCCUAUCACCAAACAAGAACACCGUGAUAAGUACCAAGAGUAGUAUCGGUAUGACUUACUACCGUUCACCGUAGAGACUUAAAUAGUAUACUUAACACUGAAAUACUCGAACGAACCGAUGACUGGACGAUACACCCUUCCCGUAGGAAAAUGGUCUCGAUACCUAAAAUUGUACGAGGUAAAGGAAGUCCAAAAGACUUAUAUGAGCGUUCAGCGUUGGUACCGGAAUGUCACGAUGUGCGGAGACAACUUCGGGGUUGACCGGGUUCAGAGCCAGUUGGGAAGGUAAUUGUGCUAUGUCUAAGGUCCAAUACCUUGACGUGAACGUUACCAUCGUCCUUGCUGGAACGAACCCGCUGGAAGAACAAUACUAUAACAACAGAUUCUAUUUUAGCGACUUAGACGAGGUACAAACCGGAUGUAGCCAUGGACCACAACUACACUUCCUUUUAUGGAAUCUGGAAUCGUCCUGAUGAAUGGCGGCGGAACGUUGAGUAAAAGAGGUCUUCACAGAGCCGGAGUCUAUACUGUUGAACUCUUAAGUCUAAAAAAACAUCGCGUCUUGGGUAUUCAAGGAUAGAAACACGAUCGAUUUGAACUCGAAUUC